AGAGUUUGAUCCUGGCUCAGGACUAACGCUGGCGGCGUGCCUAACACAUGCAAGUCGAACGAUUCUUUGAUUUAUAGCAAUAUUUCUUAAAGAGGAGUGGCGAACGGGUGAGUAACACGUAGAUAAUCUGCCUUUCAGACGGGGACAACUCAGGGAAACUUGUGCUAAUACCCGAUGAGACCACAAGAAGGGAUUUUUGUGGCCAAAGGCGGGCAGCAAUGCUCGUGCUGAAAGAUGAGUCUGCGUCCUAUCAGCUAGUUGGUGGGGUAAAUGCCUACCAAGGCUAAGACGGGUAGCCGGCUUGAGAGGGUGAACGGCCACACUGGGACUGAGACACGGCCCAGACUCCUACGGGAGACAGCAGUGAGGAAUUUUCCGCAAUGAGCGCAAGCCUGACGGAGCGACGCCGCGUGAGGGAUGACAGCUUUCGGGUUGUAAACCUCUUUUAUUAAGGAAAAAGAUCUAUAUGCUAAUAUCAUGUAGAUUUGAUGGUACUUAUUGAAUAAGCCCCGGCUAACUACGUGCCAGCAGCCGCGGUAAUACGUAGGGGGCGAGCGUUGUCCAGAGUUACUGGGCGUAAAGAGCGUGUAGGCGGUUGAAAAAGUCAGGUGU
rnacentral:rRNA from 1 species